CGUAGGGUGCAAGCGUUAAUCGGAAUUACUGGGCGUAAAGCGUGCGCAGGCGGUUUCGUAAGUCUGUCGUGAAAUCCCCGGGCUUAACCUGGGAAUGGCGAUGGAGACUGCGAGGCUAGAGUUUGGCAGAGGGGGUAGAAUUCCACGUGUAGCAGUGAAAUGCGUAGAGAUGUGGAGGAACACCGAUGGCGAAGGCAGCCCCCUGGGUCAAAACUGACGCUCAUGCACGAAAGCGUGGGGAGCAAACAGGAUUAGAUACCCUGGUAGUCCACGCCCUAAACGAUGUCUACUAGUUGUUGGGUCUUAAUUGACUUAGUAACGCAGCUAACGCGUGAAGUAGACCGCCUGGGGAGUACGGUCGCAAGAUUA
rnacentral:rRNA from 1 species